AACGAACGCUGGCGGCAUGCCUAACACAUGCAAGUCGAACGCUUCUCUUCGGAGAGGAGUGGCGCACGGGUGAGUAACGCGUGGGAACCUGCCCCGGAGUGGGGGAUAACCCGGCGAAAGCCGGGCUAAUACCGCAUACGGCCUAUGGGCGAAAGAUUUAUCGCUCUGGGAGGGGCCCGCGUCCUAUUAGCUAGUUGGUGGGGUAACGGCCCACCAAGGCGACGAUCGGUAGCUGGUCUGAGAGGAUGAUCAGCCACACUGGGACUGAGACACGGCCCAGACUCCUACGGGAGGCAGCAGUGGGGAAUAUUGGACAAUGGGGGCAACCCUGAUCCAGCAAUGCCGCGUGAGUGAUGAAGGCCUUAGGGUCGUAAAGCUCUUUCGCACGCGACGAUGAUGACGGUAGCGUGAGAAGAAGCCCCGGCUAACUUCGUGCCAGCCGCCGCGGUAA
rnacentral:rRNA from 1 species